UUGUGGAGGAGGACGCCGAAGGUGGGGCUAAUGACUGGGGUGAAGUCGUAACAAGGUAGCCGUACCGGAAGGUGCGGCUGGAUCACCUCCUAACAGGGAGACAACAAAAUGUUAAAUAUUAAUUUUGUCACCUUAGGUCGAUCGGUACCUCACAUUCUUAAUUUAUUAAGGAUUUUAUUUCCUAAGUUUUUCUAGGUCACAUCCAUUAUUUUUCCUGGGCCAUUAGCUCAGGUGGUUAGAGCGCACCCCUGAUAAGGGUGAGGUCCCUGGUUCAAGUCCAGGAUGGCCCAUAUCUCUAUGUUGGGGGUAUAGCUCAGUUGGUAGAGCGCCUGCUUUGCAAGCAGGAUGUCAGCGGUUCGAGUCCGCUUACCUCCACUGAUUACCACCUCUUCCAUAAUUUUAUAGAAAGGAAAUUUUUUGAGUUGUGAUCAAAUUCUGAACGAUUCUAGCUUCCUAAUUAGAUUAUUAAGAUGCUGGACUCAUUGAAUUAAUUUCAUUGUUUUCAGAGAACCUUGACAACUGCAUAGAUUAUUUUUAAAGACAAUAAGCAUCUUUAAUGAUGCAGAUUUAUUAUUUUUGCGAAUGCAUUAAUAACAAUUCUAUUAAGCUGAUGCUUCAAAUUUUGAAGUUAUUGGUCAAGCUACAA
rnacentral:misc_RNA from 1 species